GGUCGCACAAAAAGCAAGUUCCCGGGAUUCAGUCUGUAGUCUGAGUGGGCUGGCGUGUUCUCGCUGGGCUAUUUCUGUACAAAAAGCUGUCUGGAACCAUCUGAGAAUCACUAACCGCUGCGGUUUACGUGAGUUCUCUGAUAGCUGAUGCGGCCACUGAUAUGAUCAACCGUGUGAUCA
rnacentral:lncRNA from 1 species